CCAGCGAGAGUAAUUCACUCUGAUGUGUAUUUGUGUGGGCGUGUGCUUUGGGCAAUCCUGACGAUCGGGUUGGGCGAGCACUGGGAGGAUUAGAAGGCGGAGCUUCUGCUCACAAAACUGUGUAAGGCACCACGAGUUGCCAUCUGUGGAUUUCCAGCGUGGGUCAGGAGGAGUUAAAGGUCCGUCUGGGAAGCGCUGGAACCACAGCUUGUUUUGAGGACCUCCAGCUCCUUCCCUCAGCAGACAUGAUCAUCAGACUGGGCCGACUGACGCCAGGAUACUUCCGUCUCCUUCAGAGGCAGGUUGCCGGAGAGGUGCAAACGCAGCCUCAGGACCGCGCCGUUAACCAGAUCGCUAUGAUGCUGGCCAUCAUGGGUCUGAGCCUGUCCUACUACAGCGCCAAACAGAUGACGGAGAAGGUCAAUGCCCAGCCGGCUCCCUGAAGGGAGUUAAUCUCACUAAUGGCGAGAGAUUGCGAUGGAGCCAAUGAUCAGCGAUGGAGGUGGAAGUCUUUACGGACAGAUUUUUUUCACCUCGGUUAUAGUCGCUAAAAUUCUGAGCCCCUUCUUUCCCUUUUAAAAUGGUCACGCAUAGUUUCUCAUCAGGGGUUUUCCUGGGCACAGUCCUUCCUAUGAACAGGACUAGGUUUUUCUGAACUGGGUGGGUGAACAAAACCAGUAAAAGUGCCAACUGGGUCUGAACAUUAGUCCUUACAAAGGUUCCAUGCUUACACAAUGCCAUUAAUACUGUUCUGAGGUAGAAAAAAGGGUUGACGCUGAACCCACAGUAGAGUUUAAGGAAAGGCUGACUGUGAUUGAGAUGGACUUUGUAAGGAAGUGAUGGCAGGCCCAGCGUGAGGUGAAAGGGGAUGAAAAAGUGAAUUCCGCCCUUUAGUUUCUUAGCGAGAUAAUCUUGCAGAGUCUCCUGAACAGAUGUGGAGCUGUUUGUUUAGUUUUUUUUUAAUGUCAGGUCUCUGAAAUUCACUCUAUUUGCGCCAAACUGUGCAAAUGUUUUAAAAUUUCUACAUCUAAUGUGCAACGGGACUCUAAACUACUCACUGCUUUUUUUUUUUUCUUUUUUUCUCACAGUUUAUUGUAUGAAGUCUCAUUUGUGUGACCAUCCUUUUGAACUAAGCACUUAAGUAUCUUUUCUGUCAACUCUAAUGUGAAAGCCUUUUAUUUUGAAAUCAUGAUGCAUGGGUGUGCAGAUCUGUAAUCAAAUCUUUUGUUUUUGUUUUAUUGAUGGUUGAUGAAUGUAUAUUGUUUUUGUAAAGAUUUAAUAAAGACUGUGAAUAUUUUUUUAAAAGAUGUUAU
rnacentral:lncRNA from 1 species